GCACAAGCGGUGGAGCAUGUGGUUUAAUUCGACGCAACGCGAAGAACCUUACCAGCCUUUGACAUCCCGGUCGCGAGCACCAGAGAUGGAGCUCUUCAGUUUGGCUGGACCGGAGACAGGUGCUGCAUGGCUGUCGUCAGCUCGUGUCGUGAGAUGUUGGGUUAAGUCCCGCAACGAGCGCAACCCUCGCCCUUAGUUGCUACCAUUUAGUUGAGCACUCUAAGGGGACUGCCGGUGAUAAGCCGCGAGGAAGGUGGGGAUGACGUCAAGUCCUCAUGGCCCUUACGGGCUGGGCUACACACGUGCUACAAUGGCGGUGACAAUGGGACGCUAAGGGGCAACCCUUCGCAAAUCUCAAAAAGCCGUCUCAGUUCGGAUUGGGCUCUGCAACUCGAGCCCAUGAAGUUGGAAUCGCUAGUAAUCGUGGAUCAGCAUGCCACGGUGAAUACGUUCCCGGGC
rnacentral:rRNA from 1 species